rnacentral:rRNA from 1 species
UAGGGAAUCUUCUGCAAUGGACGAAAGUCUGACCGAGCAACGCCGCGUGAGUGAAGAAGGUUUUCGGAUCGUAAAACUCUGUUGUUAGAGAAGAACAAGGACGUUAGUAACUGAACGUCCCCUGACGGUAUCUAACCAGAAAGCCACGGCUAACUACGUGCCAGCAGCCGCGGUAAUACGUAGGUGGCAAGCGUUGUCCGGAUUUAUUGGGCGUAAAGCGAGCGCAGGCGGUUUCUUAAGUCUGAUGUGAAAGCCCCCGGCUCAACCGGGGAGGGUCAUUGGAAACUGAGAGACUUGAGUGCAGAAGAGGAGAGUGGAAUUCCAUGUGUAGCGGUGAAAUGCGUAGAUAUAUGGAGGAACACCAGUGGCGAAGGCGGCUCUCUGGUCUGUAACUGACGCUGAGGCUCGAAAGCGUGGGGAGCAAACAGG